CACGUAGGGUGCGAGCGUUGUCCGGAAUUAUUGGGCGUAAAGAGCUCGUAGGCGGUGUGUCGCGUCGGCCGUGAAAACCUGCAGCUUAACUGUGGGCUUGCGGUCGAUACGGGCAUCACUGGAGUUCGGCAGGGGAGACUGGAAUUCCUGGUGUAGCGGUGAAAUGCGCAGAUAUCAGGAGGAACACCGGUGGCGAAGGCGGGUCUCUAUCUCGAUUCUGACGCUGAGGCGCGAAAGCUAGGGGAGCAAACGGG
rnacentral:rRNA from 1 species